AUGUCCGGUGCUCCCAGCUCACCCCUCUUCCCGGCCGGGGCUGCCCCAUCCCCGCCAGCCCCCACUCCCCCACCCCCUGCUUACCUGACACAGCCCCGGUCAGGCCGGACUCCCAAGUCCCACAAGCCCGCCGCGGGGAGGCCGCUGCGGCCACACCGCAGAUCCCCGAGAGUCGGUCCGCCUGCUCCUCUCAGCAGCCACGGGGGAAGGCAGCGGCAGUAUUGGCGACAGCGGCUCCAGCUCCCCCCAGCACAGACCCCACAGCCGCUGCAGCCAUCUUGGCACAUCCGGCUCCGGUUGCCUCGGCCGCCGCCGCCGCCGCCGCCGACGUGUCCGACCUUUACGUCACGGCGUGACCCCGCUUCGUCCCACCCCCGAGCUAGCGUCACGGCCUUCACGGAAAUGGAAAUGAUUCUCACCGGGGGAAAAACUAUCCAAGUUCUCUUUGCACGAUUGCUCACCUGGUCUCAGCCCUGCCCACCCGGCCCUGCUUCUGCGCUCCUGCAAUCUGGACCUGUUUGACCCACAUCCUCUCUCCUGAUCCAAUGUCCCGGUUCCGACCCGCCCAGCCCCAGCAACUCUGGCCUCCAAGCAGAUCGCUCAUUGCCCCAGGCCCAGGACUCACUUCCACCAGCUGGUAAAAAACGGGGGUGAUUUUUCUUUAGGCUAUGAUUAGCCUCCAUGUGGUAAGGGGCAGAGAAUAGCAGAGGGGGAGAGAGAGGAGAGGGAAGAGACUUUUCCAAACAGGAACUUACAAGCAUGGCUUUAAAAGGAUAUCUUUUGACUGUAUUGAUUCUUUUACUUAGCUCACCCAGGAGUCAGGAGAGAAGUUCAACUCCCUGCAAUGCAUUGGCCCAAUUUGAAAUUCCUAAAACCCACCCUCACUAUGGGGAAGCAACUCAGUGGCUCAGUGAAUUAAGAGCCAGGCCAAGAGACAGGAGGUCCUGGGUUAAAAUCUGGCCUCAGACACUUCCUGGCGGUGUGGUCCUGGGCAGGUCAUUUAACCUCCAUUGCCUACCCCUUACCAAUUUUCUACCUUCUGACAAUAGGCAUCUAAAUGGAUAAUUAAAAAAAAAAACCCAAGGAACUUUAAAGAGACUGGAGGUUAUAUUUUAAGGCAUUUCAGACUCCAGUGUUUUAUAAAAAUCUCUGUAUUAUAUUGCAUUUUGCUCUUUGUUUUGUUUAAGAUUUAAUCUUGUUGGGUUUAAGUUUAUAUAUUACUGCAUUCAGUACUAUUCUGUUACACUGAAUCAUUUUAAUGUACUGGGUUUUAACUACUGUUAAAUUCUGUUGCUUUUUCCUAUAACUGUGC
rnacentral:lncRNA from 1 species